UAGGGAAUCUUCGGCAAUGGGGGCGAACCCUGACCGAGCAACGCCGCGUGAGUGAAGAAGGUUUUCGGAUCGUAAAACUCUGUUGUUAGAGAAGAACACGAGUGAGAGUAACUGUUCAUUCGAUGACGGUAUCUAACCAGCAAGUCACGGCUAACUACGUGCCAG
rnacentral:rRNA from 1 species